UGCUUAUGCUACUCAUUUGUUCUCUUACCUAUUUCAGCUCCUGGUUUCUUUGUUCUUUGCUGGAUUAUUCCAUUUCUGCUCAGUUGCUAUGUCCAUUCCUAUGCCUGUCUCCAUAGCUAUUUAAGUCCCUGCUUCAUCUCCGGACUAGUUUCAAGCUGCCUUGAAGGAACACCACAGCAGGCUCUCUGAAGCUGAUGUAUGUGUGUGUAGAAACGAUGUUUCCCUCAUUUUCUUACUCAUGUUACCUGGAAAUAACGAUGGAUCAUGUGCAGGGAAUUCUAUCAGACAGGACGGACAGCUCCCACUCUAACCCCAAGCUCAACAGCUACUGUUAGCUCUACCUCAUGGUUUUCUACUUCAGGGCUGUCUGCCUCAGGGCCAGACCAAAGUCCUGCCCCAGAUUCAGCUGUAUCAAAAGGAGAGAUGUGGACUGAUUUUGACAUACAUGUUUUGUUAGGACAAUAUCACCAGUCAGCUGCCAGUGAUGUGGUCAUUGAAGUACGUCGGUACUCAGAAGAAAAAGUGAUUCCCCGAGAUAGGGAUGUACUGGUUUGGUGGAAAGAGCAUGAACCAACCUUCCCAGCCCUGAGCAAACUAGCAGUGAGAUACUUGGGAAUUACUGAAGUGGCAGUAAUUCCCAGGUAUCUCACUGCUUGUCACUGCUGCCACUUCUGUACCGGAAGAGAAAGUCUUUUCAAAGGCAGGAGAGGUUCUGAGCAAACAACGGAACUUGUGAUUGAGGGAAAGUCUCAGACUUUGAUGCUUUUUUUAAAGGGUUAUUUACAUGUUCAGCAUUGUCAUACAAACAUGUUCAUGUAAUUUUCAUACAUUUUGUAUGAUUAUGUCCUCUUUUUUGUGUUGUUGUUUUAGCUUGCCUAUAUUGUAAAUGAGGUCGCUACCUCGAUGUACUUUAAACUAAAUAAAUUACUCUGACGUCUUGUAUUCUGUA